UCCGGUUUGUCACCGGCAGUCUCAUUAGAGUGCCCAACUAAAUGUAGCAACUAAUGACAAGGGUUGCGCUCGUUGCGGGACUUAACCCAACAUCUCACGACACGAGCUGACGACAGCCAUGCAGCACCUGUCUCUGGGCUCCUUGCGGCACCCCCAUAUCUCUACAGGGUUCCCAGGAUGUCAAGACCAGGUAAGGUUCUUCGCGUUGCAUCGAAUUAAACCACAUACUCCACCGCUUGUGCGGGCCCCCGUCAAUUCCUUUGAGUUUCACCGUUGCCGGCGUACUCCCCAGGUGGAUUACUUAGCGCUUUCGCUUGGCCGCGUACUGUAUAUCGCACACAGCGAGUAAUCAACGUUUACAGUGUGGACUAC
rnacentral:misc_RNA from 1 species